GUGCUCACUUCGGAAGUACGUAUACUAAAAUUGGAAAGAUACAGAGAUUACCACGGCCCUGCACAAGGAUGACA
rnacentral:snRNA from 1 species